GACGAACGCUGGCGGCGUGCCUAAUACAUGCAAGUCGAACGCUUCUUUCCUCCCGAGUGCUUGCACUCAAUUGGAAAGAGGAGUGGCGGACGGGUGAGUAACACGUGGGUAACCUACCCAUCAGAGGGGGAUAACACUUGGAAACAGGUGCUAAUACCGCAUAACAGUUUAUGCCGCAUGGCAUAAGAGUGAAAGGCGCUUUCUGGUGUCGCUGAUGGAUGGACCCGCGGUGCAUUAGCUAGUUGGUGAGGUAACGGCUCACCAAGGCCACGAUGCAUAGCCGACCUGAGAGGGUGAUCGGCCACACUGGGACUGAGACACGGCCCAGACUCCUACGGGAGGCAGCAGUAGGGAAUCUUCGGCAAUGGACGAAAGUCUGACCGAGCAACGCCGCGUGAGUGAAGAAGGUUUUCGGAUCGUAAAACUCUGUUGUUAGAGAAGAACAAGGACGUUAGUAACUGAACGUCCCCUGACGGUAUCUAACCAGAAAGCCACGGCUAACUACGUG
rnacentral:rRNA from 1 species